rnacentral:pre_miRNA from 1 species
AAUAAACGAAUUUCUGUAUUUUUGGAUAGAAUUUUUGAAUCUUAGUUUUAUUUGAAAAAUUUUUAUAAUUAAUAUUUUUAUUGUUACUAUAUUAUAUGAUAAAGCAUGAAUACUACUUUACGUGCGACUAAUUUUUUCAAUUUUUUAAUAAAUUCUUCAAAUAAGACGGAUGGUCAAACGCUGAAACUAGAAAACAAUGUUUUCUUUGGGA